AUCUUUUGUCUAUGUGUCUUUGUUUAAUUUGUAACAAAGCCUUACAGACAGGUGCAAACAGUAAAUCUUCUUUUGCAACCCAGAACUCAUUGUUGAGUAUGAGAUUUUUGUUACAUGUAAGAAGGAAUAUG
rfam:Dipodomys ordii contig_722, whole genome shotgun sequence.